rnacentral:rRNA from 1 species
GAUGAACGCUGGCGGCGUGCCUAAUACAUGCAAGUCGAGCGAACAGAUGAGGAGCUUGCUCCUCUGACGUUAGCAGCGGACGGGUGAGUAACACGUGGUCAACCUAACUCUAAGACUGGGAUAACUACGCGAAACCGGAGCUAAGACCGGAUAAUAUAUUGAACCUCAUGGUUCCAUAGUUAAAGACGGUAUUUCGUUCACUUAUAGCUUGCCACGCCCCGCAUCCGUUAGUUGGUUAGGUAACUGCUUAGCCACGCAACGACGGUUAGACGACCCGAGGGCGUGAUCGGACAGACUGUAACUGAGGCACGGUACAGACACCUACAGGAAGCCGCAGUAGGGAAUCUUCCGCGAUGGGCGAGUGCCUAACAGAGCAACGCCGCCUGAGGGAUGAAGGUCUUCGGAUCGGAAAACUCUGUUAUUAGGAAAGAACAAAUGUGUAAGUAACUAUGCACGUAUUGACAGUACCUAAUCAGAAAGCCACGGCUAACUACGUG